UGAUUGGCCCCAAAUUUAUUCUGCAACAUGACAACGACCCCAAGCAUACAGCGAAAAUCAUUAAGAACUAUCUUCAGCGUAAAGAAGAACAAGGUGUACUAAAAGUGAUGGUUUGGCCCCCACAGAGUCCUGAUCUCAACAUCAUCGAGUCUGUCUGGAAUUACAUGAAGAGAGAGAAGCAACUGAGGCUGCCUAACUCCACAGAAGAACUCUGGCAUAGUUGUUUCCAGCUUACAAAGGGAAGGACAGCAGGAGAGGACUAAGCACUAAAGGAGAGGAUCAGACUACAGGCCACUUGCUGACACUCAUGUGUACAAGGUGGAGGUUUUUUGUUCAGUCAGGCAGCUUAUGUCCACAAGAUGCUCUCAAUUGUCAACCAGUCGUUCCUGGAACAUACAGCACACAUGAAUCCACCUGCAAAUUGAGGUCAGGAGACAUAAAGCUGAGGUUGACAAGAAGAGGAUUGAAGAGGAGAAGAUUCAGGUCCUGACCCAGGAACUGCCCUCAAGUGUGAAGUCUGUGCUCUGACUGCGAGAGGAGUUCUGAUUAGUCAAGCAGAGAGCCCAAAGAGGAGGAGAAGAGUCUCGGCUGCCAGCCUCCCCAAGCUCGCGUGUUCCCAGCAGCCACGUGUGCGGUGAUGGAGAGUUUCUGCUGGCCCAGGAGAGAGCACCUAAACAGAUUUGGGACAUCACUUGAUUGGCUGGGGAGAUCUGCUUAUGUUUGAAUGAAUUAUUUUAAAGUCAUGAAUAAAGGUGGGGUAUGCAAUUCUAAUCCAAUACGGUUUAUUUUGUGAAAUUCAGCAAAUAUCUCCUCACAGUCUGCUACCUGUCCCUCCUGUGUGAGCGCUGAAAAAAAAAAUCUGUUUUGUACACAGACCUGGAUUUGUGUGUCAGGUGACGUUUACUUACAUGCUCACGGACAUUCAGCUUACUUUCUAGUUAAGACAUGCUGUUGUGAUGUAGUAGCAGAAGAGCUGUGAGAAUCGUCUCAUCCUCUCUAGUUAUUGGUAACAUUACUUGCAUUACAUUGAAUUGCACACCCCACCUUUUAAGUGUUUUAGUAGGGGGGAAUACUUUUGGUGUCACAAAAAGCUAUGAAUGUCACUGAAGUAUACAGUUUUGUUAUUUUGUUUCUUGAGUUUUGUUGAGAAUUUGAUGACUUAACCGAUGUGUUUUGAAGUACCUUUAAAUUGCCAUAUGUGACUAUAAUUAUACUUUUAAAAUGUGUUCACUGAAUUAUUAAAAUAAUAAAAACAAAUUUCAAUGAAAAAGGUUUGAUAUGUAAUAUAGACCAGACUUUUCUUUAUAGGUGGGAACUACAUGGGAAUAAGUGAAUUCCAUUUUGUACCCUGAUAUUUGUUGUUUUCUGUUCAAAUGUCCUAAAUCACAUCAGGUUUGGUUAGCUUUUAGUACAUGUAAGUUGACACACAUAAUGAACUAAAAAGGAUUUUUUUUUUUUUAUGAUUACGUUUCUGUACGUUGAUUUGUACAAAAGAAAAGUGUAGCGCUUGAUGUGUUUUGAGUCACAUACCCUAACUACUCCUGGAACCACAGACCCCACAAGCCAAUGUAGCCAAAAUCUUAAUGAAUAUGGGCAGAUAGACAAGAAAUUGCAGCCAAAUAAAAGAAUAAUAAAGGCAUCUAAACCCUAA